CGGGUGAGUAACGCGUGGGGAAUCUGCCUUUGAGCGGGGGACAACAUUUGGAAACGAAUGCUAAUACCGCAUAAAAACUUUAAACACAAGUUUUAAGUUUGAAAGAUGCAAUUGCAUCACUCAAAGAUGAUCCCGCGUUGUAUUAGCUAGUUGGUGAGGUAAAGGCUCACCAAGGCGAUGAUACAUAGCCGACCUGAGAGAGUGAUCGGCCACAUUGGGACUGAGACACGGCCCAAACUCCUACGGGAGGCAGCAG
rnacentral:rRNA from 1 species